UACGUAGGGGGCCAGCGUUGUCCGGAAUCAUUGGGCGUAAAGAGCGUGUAGGCGGCCCGGUAAGUCCGCUGUAAAAGUCAAAGGCUCAACCUUUGAAUGUCAGUGGAUACUGCCGGGCUAGAGUCCGGAAGAGGCGAGUGGAACUCCUGGUGUAGCGGUGGAAUGCGCAGAUAUCAGGAGGAACACCGGUGGCGAAGGCGGUUCUCUGGGCCUUACCUGACGCUGAGGAGCGAAAGCGUGGGGAGCGAACAGG
rnacentral:rRNA from 1 species